CCUAUGAAGCUUUACUGUAACUUGAAAUUGAAAUUGGACUUUAUCCGCGCAGUAUAGGUGGGAGGCAUUGAAAGAUUCUUGCGGGAAUUCUUGAGCCGUCAGUGAGAUACCACCCUUAUAAUGUUAGAUUUCUAACUUUUACCAUUAUCUGGUAAAAGGACAGUUUCAGGCGGGCAGUUUGACUGGGGCGGUCGCCUCCCAAAUGGUAACGGAGGCGCACAAAGGUUUCCUCUGAACGGGUAGAAAUCGUAUCUAGAGUGUAAAGGCAAAAGGAAGCUUGACUGUGAGACUUACAAGUCAAGCAGGGACGAAAGUCGGUCUUAGUGAUCUGACGGUGCUGAGUGGAAAGG
rnacentral:rRNA from 1 species